rnacentral:tRNA from 7 species
GCUGAGGUCGCUUAAUCAGGUAGAGCACUGGCCUGCUAAGUCAGCGUCCUUCGGGACUUAAGGGUUCAAAUCCCUUCCUCAGCG